rnacentral:lncRNA from 1 species
AAAUCUCUCACCAGAACUGCUAUAUGAAAUAAGUAUAUAUUAUGAACUAUCGCAUACUAUUGAGCAUGAACAUAUAAGAGUAGAAAUUAAGGGGUUUCCGAGUGCUUUAAAGAUCUGAUAUGGGAACUAGAGUAAGACUCUGAAGGUAUUGAUUGGGCUCAGUGUAGAAAGCUAUUGUUGUUGAUUAACUUCAGCAAUGGAAAUGCAAUUAUUAGGCAGUUAAUUAAUAUAGGUCUUUGGCUACUUGGCUAAACUAGCAGUGUUUUGUUCCCUCAUUGGGGGUGGGGGGACGUUGUGUGUGGGAUCAUAAUUCCCUACUUCUCUUUGUUGUUUGAUAUCCUACACUUUUCUGCCAUGCUUUACAAAUUGAUCUGAAAUGCUGUUUUAAGCAGUGGCAAUCCUUAAUUCUGUGCCUAACAAAAGAAGAAUAAGCAGUGGGAUGAAUUUGAUUUGUGUUUAUCUGCUGAUAAGCCUUUGGUUGGGGAGGCAAGUUUCAUUUUUAUCCCUAUUUAUCUGAUUUUAUCUUUCAUGCGUCUCUAUCUUUUGCUAGUGAUUAGCCACUUGAGGAUCCUUUGGUAUUGAGAUAAGGCUGGAAGGUAUUAGAUCCCUUUGAUUAGUUUCUUGGUAAUUUUGCUGGCCUUGGAUUAUUUCGAGAAUGGAAUAAUUUCCAGAAUGGUUACUUUAAAUUCCUAACCUCCACCCAUCCCCUGCUUGUGUGAGUUGCUCAGUGCAGUGUUGGAAUCACUCUGGAUUUGACCUACUUGUUUAUAAAAGACUUAACAGAAUUAUCAGUAUAAUUUAUAAUCCGACAUGUAUUUGCAGGAGCUCAUUAUUUUCUCAUUUACUGCAUGUGUGUAUUUCUCUUCCUGCCUGAAAAGGAGUUCUUUAUUAUUCCCAAGAAGUAUGUAAUGCUUGCGUUGUUUUGAAUGGGUUAGCUUCCAUACAAUAAGUUUCUUAGAAUCAUUGUUAUGUUACUUGUGAUUAAAUUCUUGUAAAAUCUCAGCAUCUGCUUAAUAUGCCCAAUAAUCUUGUAUUUGAGGGGUUGCAAGUUUCCUACACCUGCUCCCAUGAAGUCCUCAGUUUCAGAUUUUUUACAGCUUUGGUUUCCAACAAAUUUUAGGACGACCUUGUGAAGAAAGCUAUGAGGGAAUUCCUAGUGUUAUGUCGUGUGAUACUUGUGUUUCUCGAUUGCAGCAUACUUUGUAGACUGAUGCAUCCUGUAAUAUGGUAUUUGUUAGGUUCUAACCUUUUCCAAUUUUCUAGGAUAUUUGGUACUGAUAAGGGUUAUAGAAAAUUGAAGGAGCUGAAGAGCGGAGGGGCCGAGACAAUGGUGAAGGAGAUGUAAAAGUUAACGGGACAUCUAGGUUUGUGAUUUUGGAGCAUCAUCGUCUUGACUGGUUUCAUAUCAUUUUGGUUUCUUAGGUUGUUUGCAAUUGCAAUUUGUAUCCCAAUUCUGCUGCAGUUAGUAUUUUGUGUUAUGCGGAAUCAAGUCAUGGCUUGUUAUGGAUUUUGUGCUGCAACGGUAACCACAUGAAUGCAUUCCGCACUUUGUUCAGCUCUCAUUGCUCGACUUCGUUCAUAUCAUCUAGAAAACAUAUAGUUCCCCAACUCUGUAUCUGUAUAUUCAAUUUCUCAAUUUUCUUAGCACAGGUCAAAUCAUCAGUCUGGAGCAGGGCAACAGCUGAAUACUCCAUAUAGGAACAUGAGCUGAUGUUAAACUGUCUUCCUCAAGUCUUAUCAGCUACUAUGAUUGUCUUUAAUUAUAUUUUAUAAUUUAUAUAUAUUAUGUUACAUUUUUCCCAAAUAUUAUAAAUUACUCCCUUCAUUCCAUUAAUGACAUCUCAAUUUCUUUUUUGGUUCAUUUAUAAUGUUUCAACCAAAAAAAAAAAGAAAUAAAUUAAGGUGUGGGUUCCUCCCACUUGAAUGCAAUUUACAAGAUGUGGAUCCUUCCCAGUUUAUUGUUAAAGCAUUUCUUAUUUCU